rnacentral:rRNA from 1 species
GAUGAACGCUGGCGGCGUGCUUAACACAUGCAAGUCGAACGGAAAGGCCCUGCUUGCAGGGUACUCGAGUGGCGAACGGGUGAGUAACACGUGGGUGAUCUGCCCUGCACUUCGGGAUAAGCCUGGGAAACUGGGUCUAAUACCGGAUAGGAGCCAUUUUUAGUGUGAUGGUUGGAAAGUUUUUUCGGUGUAGGAUGAGCUCGCGGCCUAUCAGCUUGUUGGUGGGGUAAUGGCCUACCAAGGCGGCGACGGGUAGCCGGCCUGAGAGGGUGGACGGCCAAAUUGGGACUGAGAUACGGCCCAGACUCCUACGGGAGGCAGCAGUGGGGAAUAUUGCACAAUGGGCGCAAGCCUGAUGCAGCGACGCCGCGUGGGGGAUGACGGCCUUCGGGUUGUAAACUCCUUUCGCUAGGGACGAAGCUUUUUGUGACGGUACCUAGAUAAGAAGCACCGGCUAACUACGUG